UGUCGAGCUUUUCUUCCUUUGGUGUUGUCUUCCUUUUUCUAGAAGGCUUCUUGGUUUCUUCAAGUCUUUCUAAGGCAGACCGUUGUAGAGGAAAGCUAGCCGUGUUGCUUUGUUUCUUCGGUUUUGACAACCUUUCGAAAACAGAGCUUUGGGGUGUUGGCGUGUUAAGCCGUUUAAAGAUGGAAGUUCGAUCUUGACUACCAAUGCAGCCUACCAAAGACUGAUGUUUGAGGGCUAACAUUUUUUUAUUUGCUUGAAAUCGUCACCGGUGUAUUUGGUGUGAAACUAAGUCCAGCUUUGUUGUUGUCAACCCCGUAACCAUGCUCCUUCAACUUCUUUUGAGUCUUGUUGAGGUUAUAUUCUUCGUCGUUGACAGUGUUUACAUUCUUCUUUCCAAGAUUUGAAGAUGAGGCUAAAUCGUACCCAGACUUUGACAUGAGUUUGUAGGCGUUUAGGGCGAAACCUUAUUCAGUCCUCUUGGUUUGAAGAGAGCUUGGUUCCGCCCCCUUUGGUAGGGGUUUUAUGAAACCUUGUGUUGGUUUUGAAACUUUAGCGUUACCUAGCUGUGUC
rnacentral:lncRNA from 1 species